rnacentral:misc_RNA from 1 species
AGGAGAUGUUGCAAGAGUGAACGGGCAGCUUGCAGUUUCUCGAGCAUUUGGCGACAAGAACCUCAAGACACACUUGCGAUCUGAUCCUGACAUAACAAAUGCCGAUGUUGACUCUGACACUGAGCUUCUUAUCUUAGCAAGUGAUGGUCUAUGGAAGGUCAUGACAAAUCAAGAAGCCGUGGAUAUAGCAAGAAAAACCAAGGAUCCCCAGAGAGCAGCAAAGCAAUUAGCAGCAGAAGCACUGAAAAGGGAAAGCAAAGACGACAUCUCAAUCAUCG